rnacentral:rRNA from 1 species
CCARAUCGGGCGGUAAAUCCUGUCCAAGGCUAAAUAUUGGCGAGAGACCGAUAGCAAAGAAGUACCGCGAGGGAAAGAUGAAAAGGACUUUGAGAAAAGAGUCAAAGAGUACUUGAAAUUGUCGGGAGGGAAGCGGAUGGGGGCCGGCGGUGUGCCUUGGUCGGAUGUGGAACGGCGCGUAGCCGGUCUGCCAAUCGACUCAGGGCGCGGACCGACGCGGAUUGCGGCGGCGGCCCAAGCCUGGGCCUUUGUUGUGCUCGCGGAGACGUCGUCGGCGCGAUCGUGGCUGGCAGCGCGCGCCAAGAGGCGUGCUUCGGCAUCAGCGCGCUCCGGGCGUCGGCCUGCGGGUUCCCCAUUCGGCCCGUCUUGAAACACGGACCAAGGAGUCUGACAUGUGUGCGAGUCAACGGGCCAGUAAACCCGUGAGGCGCAAGGAAGCUGACUGGCGGGAUCCCCUAGCGGGUUGCACCGCCGACCGACCUUGAUCUUCUGAGAAGGGUUCGAGUGAGAGCAUGCCUGUCGGGACCCGAAAGAUGGUGAACUAUGCCUGAGCGG